AUCAUUCUCCUCAAAGGCGAGGAAGUUGUCAUCAUUGAGAAAGAACCUUUCGUCCGUCAGUGAAGGGCCUGCUCGUGGUGUUAAAUAUAAUUUGAAGUGGAAAACAGCUUCCUUUAAGAAGUCUAGUCGGAGCUCCAGCUCAGAAUCGGAAGAAGCUGAAGUUUUCCAGACUGAAGGAGAGAAACUUUGUUUAAGAGGAAAUCUCAGUGAAACAAAAAUCCA
rnacentral:misc_RNA from 1 species